AUACGUAGGUGGCAAGCGUUGUCCGGAAUUAUUGGGCGUAAAGCGCGCGCAGGUGGUUCCUUAAGUCUGAUGUGAAAGCCCCCGGCUCAACCGGGGAGGGUCAUUGGAAACUGGGGAACUUGAGUGCAGAAGAGGAUAGUGGAAUUCCAAGUGUAGCGGUGAAAUGCGUAGAGAUUUGGAGGAAUACCAGUGGCGAAGGCGACUGUCUGGUCUGUAACUGACACUGAGGCGCGAAAGCGUGGGGAGCAAACAGGAUUAGAUACCCUGGUAGUCCACGCUGUAAACGAUGAGUGCUAAGUGUUGGGGGGUUUCCGCCCCUCAGUGCUGCAGCUAACGCAUUAAGCACUCCGCCUGGGGAGUACGGUCGCAAGACUGAAACUCAAAUGAAUUGACGGGG
rnacentral:rRNA from 1 species